GACGAACGCUGGCGGCGUGCUUAACACAUGCAAGUCGAACGGAGUGGCGAACGGGUGAGUAACACGUGGGUGAUCUGCCUUGCACUUCGGGAUAAGCUUGGGAAACUGGGUCUAAUACCGGAUAGUGCAAGAGGAGCUCGCGGCCUAUCAGCUUGUUGGUGGGGUAAUGGCCUACCAAGGCGUCGCCGGGUAGACGGCCUGAGAGGGUGUACGGCCACAUUGGGCCGGAGAUACGGCCAAGAUGCGUACGGGAGGCAGCAGUGGGGAAUCUUGCACAAUGGGCGGAAGCCGGAUGCAGCGACGCCGCGUGGGGGAAGAAGGCCUUCGGGUUGUAAACUACGUUCGACAGGGACGCGGUACCUGUAUAAGAAGCACCGGCUAACUACGUGCCAGCAGCCGCGGUAAUUC
rnacentral:rRNA from 1 species